rnacentral:rRNA from 1 species
CACGUAGGGGGCGAGCGUUGUCCGGAAUCAUUGGGCGUAAAGAGCUCGUAGGCGGCUCAGUAAGUCGGGUGUGAAACCCCCAGGCUCAACCUGGGGACGCCACUCGAUACUGCUGUGGCUAGAGUCCAGUAGAGGAGUGUGGAAUUCCCGGUGUAGCGGUGAAAUGCGCAGAUAUCGGGAGGAACACCAACGGCGAAGGCAGCACUCUGGGCUGGAACUGGCGCUGAGGAGCGAAAGCGUGGGUAGCAAACAGG